GGCUGAGAAGCAUAGAUCUUGCUCUAAGAAGGGGGGGGAGGAUUCUGAAUGGUGAUGAUGCCUUGCAAGAAACGAGCACGCCACUGGAUAUCGCGCCUUCCCCUCAGAACUCAGUGAGAUCGUCUGCUGUAUCUAUUUCUCCGGUGAUGACUCAACCGUAUUGGCAUUUUCUUGCGUGAGAUCGUCUGCCAUAUCAUGUCGACAGCAUCAUUUGGUUGAGAUGGAUACUGGUAUUCAUAGUGACCACCUAUUUCCUUUUUUUUUUUUCAACAACAUGCACCACUAUGGACUCCAGAUCAUUUAAGGUUGAAGCUAAGGCUGCGACUUUCUCUUGGCAUUUGGUGCAUCUCAAAUCAGCAGCCAAUUCUGACACCUUGUUUACUGAAGUGUUUAAGGUGGUGGUCUGCUGAGGAGGAGGCAGCAGCCGCUUGGAGCUUUGAACUUUAAGUUUUGCCAGCUCCUUCUUUGCCCAGGAAACCAAAGUCAUGCUUUAUUUGCUCCUCUCUUCUGCGUGUGUGUGUGUGAGGUGGAUGGCGUGAAGGAGACGGCGCCGGGCAUAGCUCCUUGUUGCUUCCCUAUUUUGCCGGAGCUAUGUGCGCAGCGGCAGUCUCCGGAAGCGGUGGCGGGUCUAUUGAGUUGUCUCGCGAAAGUUCAGAUGGCGAGGAGAGGCGACCGGAACGAGGCCGGAUGGCAGGCGGUUGCCGGAGAAGAGAGAGUAUGAGAAGAGAUGCGCCGCCUAGGAGUGUUGGCUGCGGUCUCAUCCGAGGAAAAGAGAGAGUAUGCAAUUUAGCCCUUGGUUGAAUUUAUGUUGGGCCAUCUUUUGGUGGGGCUUUGGGCUUCAUUGCUGGGCUUCUUUAAUUUGUAGAGAGGCCAUCUUAAAUUACACCAAGCCCAUUUCUAUAAAUCAAAUAAAUCGGGCCCAAUUUUGGAAACAAACUGGCAGCAGCGAAAGCUUGGUGAUGAUGAUUUUGGAGGGUUAUGUUCAAGAUUGGCGCAGUCUUAUCAACCAAUUUCAUGGCGGAUUUUGCCCCAAACGAGAUGCUUUGAGUAUUUGCAAAGUUUGGAAUCUAUUGUUAUUUUUUUUCGGUCUUGACAUUUCCAUCAGCCUGACUAAAGAUCAUCCUCAGAGAGUUCAUCAAAAUAUGUCAGCAGCCCAUCUAAGACCUUAUUUGAGUGAUGUUUACUUUGCACUUCAGGUGGCUCAAUUGGCUUUUAAUCAGAUUUCGGGUGCGCUCGGGUCUGGGCCAUUGUGAGUCCAACCUUUGAAGAUUGCUGGUUACAUUUUCUCUUUGCGCGCAUUCGAGCAGGCUAGAUGACUCAAUGGUGUUCUAUUAUGUUUGGCGAACAUGUGUUUCAACUCCACGAGCGCAUUCAACUUUAGCUUGGAAAGAAGUGAAUUUGUCGAUGCAUAGCCGACCUCGAUGCCAGAUAACUCAAUUCUUUGACAGGUCUUGGGUGCGCUCAGGCCUGGGAUUGUUUGAAUCUGGUUAGAGUGAGGUUGUUGUUAUGUUUGGCAUCUCACGAAGUUGGGAGAAUUCUGCACAACGGCUCGAGAAGAUUGAGUAUUUUCUUCUUGAUGCUUAAGCCAAGGAGAAUGAAGCCAUUGUCCGAAUUGCUUUGAUCAAGGAAGUGCUUGCUAUGAUAGAGAGGUGGAAGACAGAGAUGACGUUGUCCUUCAAGCAAGAUAGUGCCUCCUUUCAUAUUGUCCGAGGUGCAAUCCCAGAAUUCAAAAGAGAUUUUGACAAACAUAAAGUUGCACAUGUUGAUGAGGAAAUGCUGCGGAAUUUUGAAGACUUCAGAGUCAUUUUUGAUCUCUGCUCAGAGAACUUUGGAGGAUCAAGACCCAUUUGCUUAGUAUUGGUGCAAACCGCAAUUUCUAUCAUUUCUCUCUUGAUGAUUCUUAUUUGGUUUGUGAUGGAUAUUUUGACAUCUUCUCCAAAUGCUUGUGCUUCUUUUGAUGGCUUGAUUUUCUUCCCAAUUUGAGACAUAUUCGGCUUCACAUAAUCAA